rnacentral:tRNA from 1 species
GCCUAGUUAGCUUAGUUGGUAGUGCGUCUGCUCUGUAAGCGCUAGGCCGCGGGUUCGAUUCCCGCCCGGGGCG